rnacentral:rRNA from 1 species
CCUACGGGUGGCAGCAGUGAGGAAUAUUGGUCAAUGGGCGGGAGCCUGAACCAGCCAAGCCGCGUGAGGGAAGAAGGUACAGCGUAUCGUAAACCUCUUUUGUCAGGGAACAAAGGCGGGGACUAGUCCCCGGCUGAGGGUACCUGACGAAAAAGCAUCGGCUAACUCCGUGCCAGCAGCCGCGGUAAUACGGGGAAUGCGCGCGUUAUCCGGAUUUAUGGGGUUAAAAGGGUGCGCAGGCGGCCUGUUAAGUCAGCGGUAAAAGCCCGGGGCUCAACCCCGGCGAGCCGUUGAAACUGGCGGGCUGGAGUUGGAGAGAAGUACGCGGAAUGCGCGGUGUAGCGGUGAAAUGCUUAGAUAUCGCGCAGAACCCCGAUUGCGAAGGCAGCGUACCGGCUCCACACUGACGCUGAGGCACGAAAGCGUGGGUAUCGAACAGGAUUAGAUACCCGUGUAGUC